GUAGAUGAUGAUAUGUCUGGGGAUGAGAAGCAGGACAAUGAGGUAAAUUUCUUUUAUUACUUCUGUUCUCUGUGUGAAAUUCUGAUAACAGAUACCAUUCUCUCAUUGGAUAUGGAGGGGAUAAGUACAGUCACCAAUCAGUUUCCACAGAAUUCCCUCCCAAAAGCUUCCUGGUCCAGGAUUCCCUUCAAAAAAUCCCCAUCCCAAAAUGUCAAAAUUUGCCAAUAUACAGGUAGUCUGAAUGGAACCUACACAAAUCUUUUUGCACACUUUAGGUUAUCUGAGGAUUACAUAUAAUGCCCCAUGUUGUUAAUGUUGUAUAGUUGAAUUACAUAAAAAGUAAUGAUUUUAAAAGUCUGGACAUAUUUGGUACAGAAUCAGUUUACCUUUGUGAACCCAUAGAUGUUG
rnacentral:lncRNA from 1 species